rnacentral:rRNA from 1 species
CAGCAGCCGCGGUAAUACGGAGGGUGCGAGCGUUAAUCGGAAUUACUGGGCGUAAAGCGUACGCAGGCGGUUUGUUAAGUCAGAUGUGAAAUCCCCGAGCUUAACUCGGGAACUGCAUUUGAAACUGGCAGGCUAGAGUCUCGUAGAGGGGGGUAGAAUUCCAGGUGUAGCGGUGAAAUGCGUAGAGAUCUGGAGGAAUACCGGUGGCGAAGGCGGCCCCCUGGAUGAAGACUGACGCUCAGGUACGAAAGCGUGGGGAGCAAACAGGAUUAGAUACCCGUGUAGUCCCUGUCUCUUAUAC